AGAGAAGUACCCAAGUGGCUCAAGGGGCUCCCCUGCUAAGGGAGUAGAUCGCGAACGCGGUGCGAGGGUUCGAAUCCCUUCUUCUCUG
rfam:Bacillus anthracis str. 'Ames Ancestor', complete genome.